rnacentral:rRNA from 1 species
UACGAAGGGGGCUAGCGUUGCUCGGAAUCACUGGGCGUAAAGCGCACGUAGGCGGAUUGUUAAGUCAGGGGUGAAAUUCUGGAGCUCAACUCCAGAACUGCCUUUGAUACUGGCGAUCUUGAGUCCGGGAGAGGUGAGUGGAACUGCGAGUGUAGAGGUGAAAUUCGUAGAUAUUCGCAAGAACACCAGUGGCGAAGGCGGCUCACUGGCCCGGUACUGACGCUGAGGUGCGAAAGCGUGGGGAGCAAACAGG